UUUUUAAUUUCUUUUUAUGUCUUUUUCUUAUGAGUAAAAAGUUUCAUAUUGCAAAAAUUAGUUAUGAUUUCUUCACUUCAUUCUAUGGAUAGAUGUUGAAAGAAAAGAUGAAAGAGAUGAAGAGAAAAAGUGUUGAGAUGAAUGUGUGCAUAUGGAUAAUAGAUGUUUAUAGAUUUCCUAAUUUACCCCUUGGGCAUCUACUUAUGUGAAAUAACAAUGCCCUUUUCUUCUACCAAUAUUGGCUUUUUAC
rnacentral:lncRNA from 1 species